UUUAAUUGCAACUAUGAGUUUUCAUACUCAAUUUUGAUCGUCUGUCUUAUUUGAAAUUUUUUUAUAAUUAGUAUUUUUGUUGUUAUGAGAUAAUAAAACAUAAAUCGUAUUUUACUCGUGACUUAUGUUUUUUAUUUUUUUCAAAAACUUUUCAAAUAAGACGGACGAUCAAAGUUGGACGUGGAAAAUAAUAGCUACACUUAAA
rfam:Oryza glaberrima chromosome 10 Oglab10_0095_8, whole genome shotgun sequence.